rnacentral:rRNA from 1 species
CCUACGGGAGGCAGCAGUGAGGAAUAUUGGUCAAUGGCCGGAAGGCUGAACCAGCCAUGCCGCGUGCAGGAAUGAGGCCCUAUGGGUCGUAAACUGCUUUUGUGGUGGAGCAAUAAGGUCUACGUGUAGGCCGAUGAGAGUACAUCACGAAUAAGCAUCGGCUAACUCCGUGCCAGCAGCCGCGGUAAU